rnacentral:rRNA from 1 species
CCUCAGCUCUGUUUCUGUUGGUUUUCAGAACCGAGGUAAUGAUUAAUAGGGACAGUUGGGGGCAUUAGUACUGCAGUGUCAGAGGUGAAAUUCUUGGAUUUCUGCAAGACUAACUUCUGCGAAAGCAUUUGCCAAGGAUGUUUUCAUUAAUCAAGAACGAAAGUUAGGGGAUCGAAGACGAUUAGAUACCGUCGUAGUCUUAACCAUAAACUAUGCCGACUUGGGAUUGGACGAUGUUUUAUUGACUCGUUCAGCACCAUAAGAGAAAUCAAAGUUUUUGGGUUCCGGGGGGGGUAUGGUCGCAAGGCUGAAACUUAAAGGAAUUGACGGAAGGGCACCACCAGGAGUGGAAUCUGCGGCUUAAUUUGACUCAACACGGGGAAACUCACCAGGUCCAGACAUAAUAAGGAUUGACAGAUUGAGAGCUCUUUCUUGAUUUUAUGGGUGGCGGAGCAUGGCCGUUUUUAGUUGGUGGAGUGAUUUGUCUGGUUAAUUCCGAUAACGAACGAGACCUUAACCUGCUAAAUAGUCCAGCCAAGUUUGACUUGGUUCGGACUUCUUAGAGGGACUACGGAUGUUUAAUCCGUGGAAGUUUGAGGCAAUAACAGGUCUGUGAUGCCCUUAGAUGUUCUGGGCCGCACGCGCGUUACACUGAUGAAGGCAAUAAGUUUUCACCUUGGCCGGAAGGUCUGGGUAAUCUUUUGAAACUUCAUCGUGC